GUGGAGAGAAUAUCAUAUAGUUUUGAAUAGACAUUUUGUCGUUGUGAUAAGAGAGAAUCAAUCCAUUGAUCGAAAGAGAAUCAGUAACCUUAUAAGAAGAAAAAUAAUGACCCGAAUAGAUUUCCUAGUACGAUGAUUAAGAAUCAUGAGUAGUGUAGCUUAGUGAGAAGAAUGAGGUGCUUCACUUCUUGUUCUAGCUCCUUAAUACCCCUAUUCUCUUCUACCAUUUCCAUCCCCACAUCUUCUUCGUCUUCCUACGCUCUCUCUCUGCUUACUAAUUCAACCUUCGCUGCUUCUGUGCCAGAGAAAAGGUGUCCAGUUUUACGUGCCCAAUAUCUCGAUUACAAGAGCACUGAGCGGAAAUUAAUCGAUUCGAUGGAGUCGGGAAAGGAAGGUUCGGGUUUGAAAAGAGAGCUUUACUCAGUUAUAGAGCCUUACAGUUCAGGGUUUUUGAAGGUUUCGGAUCUUCAUACUAUUUAUUGGGAGCAAUCUGGGAAUCCAGAUGGGCAUCCUGUUGUAUUUCUUCAUGGGGGUCCUGGAGGAGGAACUUCACCUACCAAUAGAAGAUUUUUUGAUCCUGAGUUUUAUCGAAUCAUUUUGUUUGAUCAACGUGGUGCAGGAAAGAGUACACCCCAUGCUUGUCUGAAAGAAAACACCACAUGGGAUCUCAUUGAUGAUAUUGAAAAGCUUAGGGAACACUUGAAAAUCCCAGAAUGGCAGGUUUUUGGUGGGUCAUGGGGAAGCACACUUGCCCUUGCUUAUAGUCAAUCACACCCGGACAAGAUUACUGGACUGGUCCUUAGAGGGAUUUUUCUUCUGAGAAAGAAAGAGAUUGAUUGGUUUUAUGAGGGUGGUACUGCUGCUAUUUAUCCUGAAGCUUGGGAACCAUUUAGAGAUCUUAUUCCAGAGAACGAGAGAGAAUGUUUUAUAGAUGCUUACAGCAAGAGACUAAACUCUGAUGACUUGGAAACACAAUAUGCAGCUGCUAGGGCAUGGACCAAAUGGGAAAUGAUGACUGCCCAUCUUAUUCCAAAUGAUGACAACAUCAAGAAAGGAGAUGAUGAUUAUUUUUCAUUGGCAUUUGCAAGGAUUGAAAAUCAUUAUUUUACCAACAAGGGAUUCUUUCCUUCAGAUUCAUACCUGUUGGAUAACAUUGAUAAGAUACGGCAUAUAGAUGCCACAAUUGUUCAGGGAAGAUAUGAUGUGUGCUGUCCUAUGAUGUCAGCUUGGGAUCUCCACAAAGUGUGGCCAGAGGCAGAUUUUAAGGUUGUGCAAGAUGCUGGUCACUCUGCUAAUGAACCGGGAAUAGCUGCAGAACUUGUAGCUGCCAACGAAAGGUUGAAAAAUGCAAUCAAGGGUGGAAGAUGAAAGGAUCAAUGCCUUAAUGCAAGUGCAUCAUGCCAUGUCCGUCGAGUCAAGCUUUGACAACCCCAAGCUCUUUGGAACAUGAAGACUGAAAAUUUGGCUCCUUGGGUAUGGUACUCGGCCUUCUUCCUCUUGACACUGAUCUUGGGGCGACAGGACCAGAUGCCCCAUGGCUGUCAAGGGCCAGUUAUUCAUAAAUAUGUUUAGAGAAAUAACACUCAAUUGGACCAGAAUUGGAAGCCUAGGAUUGCUGAUUUUGAACUGGCUAAAAUUGUUCAGGCUGGUGGGGAUUGGACUCAGUCAUUGCUGGGACACUUGGCUACAUAACUCCAGAGCAUGCAUACACAUACAAAAUAAAUUAGAAGAGUGAUGUUUAUAGCUCUGGAGUGGUGUUGAUGGAGUUGGUCACAGGAAAGAGGCCAGUGGUGCCAGAGUUCGGAGAGAAUAAGGACAUAGUUUAUUGGGUUUACAGCAAAUUCAAGAGACGAGAAUGUGAUUGAUUUGGUAGACUCAACCAUAUCAGAAGCUCUAAAAGAAGAUAAGUGUUGAAAAUUGCAGUGCAUUGUACAUCACAGGUUCCGGCUCUUAGCCCUCCAUGAGAAUGGUAGUUCCUAUGUUGGAAGUGGCCGAGCCUUGCCAAAAUUCACUUCCACAAGUGUUGUUAAAGAAGGUGAAAAUAGCCAUGGCCAAUUGAACAAUGGCACCAUGAUGAUGUUAGAGAAGCCAAACUACUAGUCAGCUUUGGAUUUUUUUCUUCUCAAUUAGAGAGUUAGUAUGUACCAUUAUGCAACGGCUUAAACAAAAGAUAAAAUAGUCAUUUGCCCUUUUUUAUAGGCUCAUCUAUAUAUGACUAUUUUGGAAGAAUUAGACCUUAUUAUUAUCUUAUUUAAAGUCACCUAAUCAAUCUAGUAUUCGAUUGUAUUAGUUCAUAGAUAUUCUUAUGAUCUCGAGUCACAGAGGCAUUAAGAUAAGCUAAUAGUAUAUGUCAAACUAAAAUUAUUAAGAUUCAUUUUUGUCUA